rnacentral:rRNA from 1 species
UACGUAGGGGGCAAGCGUUGUCCGGAAUUACUGGGCGUAAAGAGUACGUAGGCGGUUUGUUAAGUUAGAUGUGAAAGUUUGCAGCUCAACUGUAAAAGUGCAUUUAAAACUGGCAGACUUGAGUCUCGGAGAGGUAAGCGGAAUUCCUAGUGUAGCGGUGAAAUGCGUAGAGAUUAGGAAGAACACCGGUGGCGAAGGCGGCUUACUGGACGAGUACUGACGCUCAGGUACGAAAGCGUGGGGAGCAAACAGGAUUAGAUACCCUGGUAGUCCCUGAGCGGG